GACGAACGCUGGCGGCGUGCUUAACACAUGCAAGUCGAGCGGUAAGGCCCUUUCGGGGGUACACGAGCGGCGAACGGGUGAGUAACACGUGGGUGACCUGCCCUCAGCUCUGGGAUAAGCCUGAGAAACCGGGUCUAAUACUGGAUAUGACUCCAUGACGCAUGUUGUGGGGUGGAAAGCCUUGUGCGGCUGAGGAUGGGCCCGCGGCCUAUCAGCUUGUUGGUGGGGUGAUGGCCUACCAAGGCGACGACGGGUAGCCGGCCUGAGAGGGCGACCGGCCACACUGGGACUGAGACACGGCCCAGACUCCUACGGGAGGCAGCAGUGGGGAAUCUUGCGCAAUGGGCGAAAGCCUGACGCAGCGACGCCGCGUGAGGGAUGACGGCCUGG
rnacentral:rRNA from 1 species